GACAUGUUGCAGUUUUAUAGAGCAGUCAGACAUGUUGCAUUUUUAUAGAGCAGUCAGACAUGUUGCAGUUUUAUAGAGCAGUCAGACAUGUUGCAGGUUUAUAGAGCAGUCAGACGUGUUGCAGUUUUAUAGAGCAGUCAGACAUGUUGCAGUUUUGUAGAGCAGACAGACAUGUUGCAGUUUUAUAGAGCACUCAGACAUGUUGCAGUUUUAUAGAGCAGUCAGACGUGUUGCAGUUUUAUAGAGCAGUCAGACAUGUUGCAUUUUUAUAGAGCAGUCAGACGUGUUGAAGUUUUAUAGAGCAGUCAGACAUGUAGCAGUUUUAUAGAGCAGUCAGACAUGUUGCAGUUUUAUAGAGCACUCAGACAUGUUGCAGUUUUAUAGAGCAGUCAGACAUGUUGCAGUUUUAUAGAGCAGUCAGACAUGUUGCACUUUUAUAGAGUAGUCAGACAUGUUGCGGUUUUAUAGAGCAGUCAGACAUGUUGCAGUUUUAUAGAGCACUCAGACAUGUUGUAGUUUUAUAGAGCAGUCAGCCAUGUUGCAGUUUUAUAGAGCAGACAGACAUGUUGCAGUUUUAUAGAGCAGUCAGACAUGUUGCAGUUUUAUAGAGCAGUCAGACAUGUUGCAGUUUUAUAGAGCAAACAGACAUGUUGCAGUUUUAUAGAGCAGUCAGGCAUGUUGCAGUUUUAUAGAGCAGUCAGACAUGUUGCAGUUAUAUAGAGCAGUCAGACAUGUUGCAGUUUUAUAGAGCGGUCAGACAUGUUGCAGUUUUAUAGAGCAGUCAGACAUGUUGCAGUUUUAUAGAGCAGUCAGACAUGUUGCAGUUUUAUAGAGCAGACA